AGAACGAACGCUGGCGGCAUGCCUAAUACAUGCAAGUCGAACGAACACUUCGGUGUUAGUGGCGCACGGGUGCGUAACGCGUGGGAAUCUGCCCUUGGGUUCGGAAUAACAGUUGGAAACGACUGCUAAUACCGGAUGAUGACGAAAGUCCAAAGAUUUAUCGCCCAGGGAUGAGCCCGCGUAGGAUUAGCUAGUUGGUGAGGUAAAGGCUCACCAAGGCGACGAUCCUUAGCUGGUCUGAAAGGAUGAUCAGCACACUGGACGUGAGA
rnacentral:rRNA from 1 species